ACGCGAUGAAAUGGCGCAUCAAGCUUCGGCUUCCAGCCAGUUUGUCGCUUUCCCCUUCGGACGUGGCCGGGAAUGCGUCCGGCUUAACCGAUGGGCUCUCAGUGCCUUCCAAAUCUCACAGAUCGUCGGUUCUUCCUCUUCGAGAUGGCUCGAUUUGGUGGAUGGAUUCAGUUCCUGAUCUCCUUCCUCCGAGUUCUGAUGGAGAGGCCCGUUCCCAACGAGGUUCAGCUCGCUUUCUGAAGCUAGGUCGCUGAUUAAUUAGAUGGCCUGGUUUGGUAGCUGGAUCCGAUUGGCGAUCUUCAUCCUGCGAAUUUUUACGGAGAGGCCCGCUUCGAGCGAGCUCCUACUCGUCAUCUGAAUUCCAAGAUGGUUGAGCCACACUUAAAGAUACAAACUCAGAAGACUCAAAGAUAAAAAAUCCUACAGCAAUGGAGGACCAAAGCAACAACACUCUUCAACUUGUAAUUAAGUUGUAAAUUUACUUUUUUGCUUAAAUGUAAAACUCAAAGAGUUUAGUUGAGAUCAGAACUAGCCAGUUUGCUAGUUAGUAAACAAUCACCAUGGCUAAGAUUGUUGUAAGUACGAUGGCAACCAAUCCUUUUGUGUUGCAAGGAAGAUGGCAAAUUCAAGUUUUGUGAAGUGAAUAUUUCCAU